rnacentral:rRNA from 1 species
UACGGAGGAUCCAAGCGUUAUCCGGAAUCAUUGGGUUUAAAGGUCCGGUUAAGGCGGCCGUUAUAAGUCAGUGGUGAAGCCCAUCGCUCAACGAUGGAACUGCCAUUGAUACUGUAAGGCUUGAAUUAUUGUGAAGUAACUAGAAUAUGUAGUGUAGCGGUGAAAUGCUUAGAUAUUACAUGGAAUACCAAUUGCGAAGGCAGGUUACUAACAAUGGAUUGACGCUGAUGGACGAAAGCGUGGGGAGCGGAACAGGAUUAGAUACCCCUGUAGU